UAGGGAAUCUUCGGCAAUGGGGGCAACCCUGACCGAGCAACGCCGCGUGAGUGAAGAAGGUUUUCGGAUCGUAAAGCUCUGUUGUAAGAGAAGAACGUGUGAGAGAGUGGAAAGUUCACACAGUGACGGUAACUUACCAGAAAGGGACGGCUAACUACGUGCCAGCAGCCGCGGUAAUACGUAGGUCCCGAGCGUUGUCCGGAUUUAUUGGGCGUAAAGCGAGCGCAGGCGGUUUAAUAAGUCUGAAGUUAAAGGCAGUGGCUUAACCAUUGUUCGCUUUGGAAACUGUUAAACUUGAGUGCAGAAGGGGAGAGUGGAAUUCCAUGUGUAGCGGUGAAAUGCGUAGAUAUAUGGAGGAACACCGGUGGCGAAAGCGGCUCUCUGGUCUGUAACUGACGCUGAGGCUCGAAAGCGUGGGGAGCAAACAGG
rnacentral:rRNA from 1 species